GCUUUGCUAACUUGCUCUGGAACACUGGAAGUCUGAAACGUGCUCUCUUGCUUACAAUUUAUUGUGGGUUUCUUCUCUUUCUUCCAAUUCGAUGUGAGGAACUGACUCAACUGAGGGCUGAGCCACUGGGGAACAAUGGUUUCGAAUUUAUUGAUUAUAGCAUAGUGAACGAUGACCAAGCAUCACCCUGAUUUGAUCAUGUGCAGGAAGCAACUAGGGAUUGUCAUUGGGCCGCUCUGCCAGAAGUGUGAUGGGUCGUUGUGUUAUAUGUGGAGGAGUUGGGAUUUUUGAUGCUUACUAUUGCUCAUUCGUAGUUUUUGUGGAAAGAACUAUUAUGUAUGAACAAUUAUGUAUGUUAGAUAAAUCAGAACAAUUGUGGAAAGAACAAAUAUGUAUUAUGUAUGUUAGCAAUUCAAAUCCACGAUCUUCAC